rnacentral:tRNA from 1 species
GCAGUAGCUCAGUGGUAGAGCUUCCGCCUUGUAUGCGGAAAGACCUGGGUCCGAUUCCCGGUUGGAACA